GAAGAGGAAGUCAACUUUGACCAUUUUCAGAUCCUGCGGGCCAUUGGCAAAGGGAGUUUUGGAAAGGUGUGCAUCGUGCAGAAGCGGGACACGAAGCGGAUGUACGCCAUGAAGUACAUGAACAAGCAGAAGUGCGUGGAGCGGGACGAGGUGCGCAACGUGUUCCGGGAGCUGCAGAUCAUGCAGGGCCUGGAGCACCCCUUCCUGGUCAACC